rnacentral:rRNA from 1 species
ACCUGGCCAAACCUUGUCAAAGCCUGAUUUCGUCAGAUCUCAGAAGCAAAGCAAGGCCAGGCCUGGUUAGCACUUGGAUGGGAGACAGCUGGAAAUUCCACAGUGGGGCGCCAUUGGCA